AUUGAACGCUGGCGGCAGGCCUAACACAUGCAAGUCGAGCGAGCGGCGGACGGGUGAGUAAUGUAUGGGGACUGCCCGAUAGAGGGGGAUAACUACUGGAAACGGUGGCUAAUACCGCAUACUAUCGGAUAACCCAUAUGGGAUUAGCUAGUAGGUGGGGUAAAGGCUACCCUAGGCGACGAUCCCUAGCUGGUCUGAGAGGAUGAUCAGCAACACUGGGACAGGGAAACGGGCAAGACACCUACGGAGGCAGCAGUGGGGAAUAUUGCACAAUGGGCGCUAGCCUGAUUCAUCCAUGCCGCACUAAUGAAGAAGGCCUUAUGGUUGUAAAGUACUUGCAGCGGGGAGGCGUUACCCGCAGGAGAAGCACCGGCUAACUCCGUGCCAGCAGCCGCGGGAAUAC
rnacentral:rRNA from 1 species